GCUCAGAGGUUAAGAGCACUGGCUGCUCUUCCAGCGGUCCUGAGUUCAAUUCCCAGCAAUCACAUGGUGGCUUACAACGAUCCGUAAUGAGAUCUGGUGCCCUUUUCUGGUGUGCAGACAGAUACUGUAUACAUAAUAAAUACAUCUUUUUUUUUAAAGUAAUCUACGUAAAAUAAUCUACAUAACAAUGAUGUAGAAACUGUAUAAUAAUUAGAUGAAUUCCAGUGCCUGGGAUAUAAGCAAUCGAUGUUAGUUGUGUGCACUGGAUAUUGGCAUAUGGCCACUGCUCUCCAAUAUCAGCAUUUCUAUGGUAAUGGAGACUUCAACAUUUCUGUUUUGGAAUAAGCACACUAUUAGACAUUCUGUGGAGAGUGGUGGAAGGUCAUUGCAAAGCAGGGUUACCUCUCUGAUUCCUAUGUGCUACUAUUUCAUGCUGUAGGAUGUCUUUCUAUACACUGUGAAUAUGUGUUGCUAUGAUUGGUUAAUAAAGAAGCUGCUUUGGCCUAUGGCAAGUCAGGUUAUAGCCAGGCAGGAAAUCCAAGAGAAAGACAGGAAGAAGGCAGAGGUGGAGGAGACGCCAGCCUGCUGCCCAAGGAGGAACAUGCCAACAGACCAGUACUACCGCAGCCACGUGGCAAUACAUAGAUGAAUAAAAAUGCGUUAAUCUAAGAUGAAAGAGUUAGCUAGCAAGAAUUCUUAGCCAUAAGCCAUACAGUUGUAAAUAAUAGAAGCCUCUGUGUGUUUACUUGGGACCAAGUGGCUGUGGGAUACAGGUGGGAGAGAUUCAUCCUGACUGUGGGGCCAGGCAGGACCAGAGAAACUUCGGGCUACAAUUUCACUUCUUUUUUCUCCUGGUGCAUUGUGUCCAAGAGCACAUGUUAGGAUGUUCUCUUCCCUGGCUGCACACGCGGAACGUACAGCUGUUGCCUGACAUGGAUGAAUGACCACAACCCUGCUGACACGGACAACACGCUGAAGUGGAUCAGCUUACCCCAAGUGCUGUUUUAGCUGCAGCCCUUACAUCUUAUUGGGCAUUUUCACUGGUGAAGAGUUCCAGUUACACUCCUGGUUUCUUCUUUGACACGUGAAACCUACCCACGGUUGAAAGGGAUUCUGAUGAAGCUUUCAGUCCUGUGAACAAACAGCACACACAAGAAUGUUCAGAGAGAUAUCACUGGUUAAAGAAAAACACUAGAAACAGCCUAGCUCUAUUUCACGAGGAGAAAGUGUAUUCAAACAAUGGACUGUAAAGAAGUAACACAAUAAGGAAGAAAAGUACUGGACCUAGUGGAAAAUGCCUCGCCCCAAAUGCAUUCAGUCAUUCCAGGGUUCUAGUCAGCAGUCAACUGAACAAUGAAUGUAAACGUGCAGCCUUCAUUUCCCAGUUUUCCACAGAAAAGUGAUUUAAAGUGCCACGCCUCCUUGAGGAGCAAUGUCAACAGAAACACGCCCCCCUGGGAGGACCCGAAAGUUACAGACUAGAACUGCCUAACUACUCAAAGACACCUUUGGGAUCUGAAACUCCUCUGUUAAGUCACUAAAAAGGACUAUUUCAGUUCCACACAGAGGCUCAUUUGUAUCUGUGAUAAUAAAUGUGAGUUCUGGUUCUUUUUCAA